CUAAAGCAAACGUCAGUAAUUGCAGAGGUAGAGCCUCCACUGGAGGACCAGGGGUCCUGGUUAUUCAUCAAGGCUUCACUCCGCUCGGCCUCCAUCGGCAACUUGCGAGCAUCGACCUCGGUUACAUCUGUGAGCGAGGAAGCGACUGGCUCAACUGCGGCAUCACCACCGUAACUGGCAACAGCGUUUCGCCCGACUAUCAGACACGAGCAAACUCUGCUCCUGGCCUGCACUGCGGAGCUCUGAACGACCUCAUCACUGGGCACGCAGUCCCCGAAGGAAGGAACGUCCCACACCGCGCCGCCGCCGCCGCCGCCACCACGAGCCACGGCGGCGGCCCUACGUUCCCCGAGCGAGGCCGGGACACUGCCGUGCGGUCCCCCCGCCGCUUCCACCGGCCCUGCGCCCGCCCGCGACCCCGGCCCCGGCUCCACACCUGUCUCCGCGCUCCCCGAGGACUGCUCUUCCUUCCCGAGGGCUGCGACCACCGUUCCUGGGCAACUGAGAAGCCUGCGGAGAGGACGCUGGACUUGACUUCUCUGAGCACGGAGGGGCAAACUGGUCAACAGCCCCAAGCCACGAGCCGCCAUUAUCAAAGCGGCAGGAACACGGACGAAAGGGCGCCGGGCUUCCGCGCAUGCGCGCGGAGGAGGUGGGAAAGGAUGGGAAGCCUAGCGGGUCAAACUAGGCGAAGGACGUUCGCUUAUACAAGAAAGCGAGUUGCGGCUUGAAUGAGGCUUUCGCACGUGUCUGAUUUCCCCUCUCCCACGGUUCUCUAAAAGAAGGCUCGCAGGAGAACGAGCACGCCACCUACUCUUUCAAACUGAGUCAUGAAAAUAGAACCAGAGAGCAAGGGCAUGAGGAAGGAGCACUGACUUGCGAAUCUAUACUUAGAAGACGAUAAACGCUUUGCUUUCAAAGAAUUACAUUACCGUACUGUAUGCCUCCGUCUCAUAAUUGGAGAAGUUGUGUAUCAGCCUAUCAUCCUAGUGUUCCGCUGUCCCCAGGCUAUAGGUUCCCUGAAGGCCAUUGAGUUUGUCCACUACUGUUUCCCAGCACCUGGAACUGUGCCUGCC